ACUGCUUUUCUUUGAUGUCCCCAAUUUGUGGAGCCCGUUAAUCCCGCCUUUUUAGGUUCAAGAUUAUCGGGUUUUUUAUU
rfam:Serratia sp. DD3 SRDD_contig000084, whole genome shotgun sequence.